UUUUCUCUUUGAGAAUCCCCCAUUUUAGCAAAAAUCCUGCGCUUCCUCUUCGCAAAUCCCACAUUUAAGCGAAAAUCAUGUGCUUUCUCUUCGAAAAUCCCCCAUUUAACCCGAAAAUCACGCGUUUUCUCUUUGAGAAUCCCCCAUUUAACCCGAAAAUCACGCGUUUUCUCUUUGCAAAUCCCCCAUUUAAGUGAAAAUCCCACGUAUCCUCUUCGCAAAUUCUUCAUUUAAGCAAAAAUCAGGUGGUUUCUCUUCGGAGAAUCCCAAAUUUAAGUGAAAAUCACGUUUUCUCUUUGGAAAUCCGCCAUAUAAGCAAAAAUCAUGCAUUUUCAAUUCGGAAAUUCCCCAUUUAACCCGAAAAUCACGCGUUUUCUCUUUGAGAAUCCCCCAUUUAAGAGAAAAUCAAGCGAUUUCUCUUUGAGAAUCACCCAUUUAACCCAAAAAUCACACGUUUUCUCUUCGAGAAUCCGCGAUUUAACUGAAAAUCACGCGUUUUCUCUUCGAGAAUCCCCCAUUUAACCCGAAAAUCACGCGUUUUUUUCUUUGAGAAUCCCCCAUUUAAUCGAAAACAAUGCGUUUUCUCUUCAACUAUCCCUUAUUUAACCCGAAAAUCAUGCGUUUUCUCUUCGCAAAUCCCCCAUUUAAGUGAAAAUCACGCAUUUUCUCUUCGGAAAUACGCCAUUUAAGCGAAAAUCACAUGUUUUCUCUUCGGAAAUCCGCCAUUUAAGCGAAAAUCACGCAUUUUCUCUUUGAGAAUCCCCCAUUUAAGCGAAAAUCACGCGUUUUUUUUCUUCAAGAAUCCCUCAAUUAACCUGAAAAUCACACGUUUUCUCUUUGAGAAUCCCCCAUUUAAGCGAAAAUCACGCAUUUUCUCUUUGAGAAUCCCCGAUUUAACCCGAAAAUCAUGCAUUUUCUCUUCGGAAAUCCCCCAUUUAACCCGAAAAUCCCCCAUUUAAGUGAAAAUCAUGCGUUUUCUCUUCGAGAAUCCCACAUUUAACCUGAAAAUCACGCGUUUUCUCUUCGAGAAACCCCUAUUAACCUGAAAAUCACACGUUUUCUAUUCGGAAAUCUAUUGUUUAACCCGAAAAUCAUGCGAUUUCUCAUUAAGAAGCUCCCAUUUAAGCGAAAAUCAUGUGCUUUCUCCUCGAGACUCCCCCAUUUAACCCGAAAAUUACGCGUUUUCUCUUUGAGAAUCUCCGAUUUUACCCGAGAAUCACGCGUUUUCUCUUCGGGAAUCCCUCAUUUAACCCCAAAAUCACGCAUUUUGUCUUCGGAAAUCCCCCAUUUAACCCGCAAAUCACGUGUUUUCUCUUCGAAAAUCUGCCAUUUAAGCAAAAAUCACGCGUUUUCUCUUCGAGAAUCCUCCAUUUAUGCGAAAAUCACGCUGUUUCUCAUCGCAAAUUUCCCAUUUAAGCGAAAAUCACGUGUUUUCUAUUCUAAAAUCUCGCAUUUAAGCGAAAAUCACAUGCUUUGUCUUCCGAAAUCCCGUUUAACCUUAAAAUCAUGUGGUUUCUCUUCGAGAAUCCCCCAUUUAAUCCACAAAUCGCGUGUUUUCUCUUCGACAAUCCCCCAUUUAAGCCGAAAAUCACACGUUUCCUCUUCGGAAAUCCACCAUUUAAGGGAAAAUCGCAUGUUUUCUCUUCGACAAUUCCCCCAUUAACCCGAAAAUCACGCGUUUUCUCUUUGAGAAUCCCCCAUUUAACCCGAAAAUCACACGUUUUCUCUUCGAGAAUCUCCCAUUUAGGAGAAAAUCAUGCUUUUUCUCUUUGAUAAUCACCCAUUUAACUUGAAAAUCACGCGUUUUCUCUUCGGAAACCCCCCAUUUAACCCAAAAAACACGCAUUUUCUCUUCGAGAAUCCCCCAUUUAGACCAAAAAUCACGCAUAUUCUGUUUGAGAAUCCCCCAUUUAAGAGAAAAUCAUGCGUUUUUUUCUUUGAGAAUCCCCCACUUAAGCUGAAAAUCACGCGGUUUCUCUUCGGAAAUCCCCCAUUUAAGCGAAAAUCCCGCGCUUCCUCUUCGCAAAUCCUUCAUUCAAGCGAAAAUCAGGUGGUUUCUCUUCGACAAUCCCCCAUUAAACCCAAAAAUCACGCGUUUUCUCAUCAAGAAUCUCCCAUUUAAGAGAAAAUCAUGCUUUUUCUCUUUGAUAAUCACCCAUUUAAGAGAAAAUCACGCGGUUUCUACUUGGAAAUCCGCCAUUUAAGAAAAAAUCACGCGUUUUUUUCUUCGGAAAUUCCCCAUUUAAGCAAAAAUCACGCGUUUUCUCUUCGACAAUCCCCCAUUUAACCAAAAAAUCACGCAUUUUCUCUUCACAAAUCCCCCAUUUAAACCGAAAAUCACGCGUUUUCUCUUCGAGAAUCCCCCAUUUUAGUGAAAAUCACGCGUUUUCUCUUCAAGAAUCCCCCAUUUAACCCGAAAAUCACGCGCUUUCUCUUCAAGAAUCCCCCAUUAAACAAAAAAUCACGCGUUUUCUCUUCGAGAAUCCCGUUUAUCUCAAAAAUGACGCAUUUUUUUCUUCUAAAAUCCCC
rnacentral:lncRNA from 1 species